rnacentral:miRNA from 1 species
AAAAAUCUUGUAAAGUGUGUGUGUACACAAUGUAGCAUAAUCAGAACUCUGUGUGUGUGUGUGUGUGUGUGUGUGUGUGUAUAUAUAUAUACAUAAAAAUUAAAUAUUGUAGUAUGUAACAUA